UACAGAGGGUGCGAGCGUUUAAUCGGAAUGACUGGGCGUAAAGGGCGCGUAGGCGGUUAGAUAAGUGAGGUGAUAAAGACAUGGGCUUAACCUAUGGGUGACACCUUAGACUGUGUAACUAGAGACGAGGAGAGGGGAGUGGAAUUUCCGGAGGAGUGGUGAAAUACGUAGAUUUCGGAAGGAACACCGGAGGCGAAGGCGACUUUCUGGCCUUGUUCUGACGCUGAGGAGCGAAAGCGUGGGUAGCAAACAGG
rnacentral:rRNA from 1 species